rnacentral:lncRNA from 1 species
GCAACUUGCUGAAAUUGCACUACUUGGGCUUAAGCAACAACCAGUUUGUCCAAGAAUUGCCAAAGGAAUUGGAGAAGCUAGUUCAACUUUCAGAAUUAGAUGCAAGUCAUAACCUUUUUGGAGGAGAGAUACCAUUUCAAAUAUGCAGUUUGAAAAGCUUGGAAAAGUUGAAUCUCUCCCACAAUAAUCUUUCUGGUUCGAUUCCAAAUUGCUUUGAUGGAAUGCACGGUCUAUCAGUCAUUGACAUUUCUGAUAAUCAAUUGCAAGGCCCAGUUCCAAAUAGUACAGCAUUUCGGAAUGCCCCAGUGGAAGCGUUAGAGGGGAAUAAGGGAUUGUGUGGAGGUUUGAAAGGAAUGCAACCAUGCAAAGUUUACUCGUCACACAAGCAAAAUUAUGGAGCCAAGUGGUUUGCAAUAGUGUUCCCUGUUUUAGGAGCACUAUUUGUUUCAAUGGCGUUGAUAGCAAUUUUCAUUCUUCGAAAGCGGAAGUCAGACUCAGGAGAUCCACAGAGUAGCAGCCAGAACCCUCCGGGAUUGUUUUCUAUUUUAAAUUUUGAAGGGAAACUUGUGUACGAUGAAAUUGUUAGAGCAACAAAUGAUUUUGAUGCAGAGUAUUGCAUUGGAAAUGGUGGACACGGAAGUGUUUAUAGAGCUGAACUACCAUCUGGGACAGUCGUAGCUGUUAAGAAAUUUCAAUCACCACUCCCAUGUGAUCAGAUUGCAUAUCAAAAAGAAUUCUUGACCGAAGUUGAGGCCUUGACAGAGAUACGACAUCGAAACAUUGUGAAGUUUUAUGGAUUUUGCUCACAUACCCGACACUCUUUUUUGGUCUAUGAAUUUCUUGAAAGGGGUAGCUUGGCAGCGAUCUUGAGCAGUGAUGCAGCAGCACAAGAACUGGGUUGGAGUCAGAGAAUGAAUGUGAUCAAAGGCGUAGCUGAUGCUCUGUCUUACUUGCACCAUGACUGCUUUCCUUCGAUUGUCCAUCGAGACAUAUCAAGUAAGAACUUGUUGCUGGAUUUGGAAUAUGAAGCUCAUGUUGCAGACUUUGGAGUCGCUAAGUUUCUAAAGCCAGACUCGUCCAACUGGACUGAAUUUGCAGGCACAUACGGAUACGUUGCACCAGGUAUUUAGUAUUCGUUUGUUACCAUUUUGAGUAAUAUUUUUAUGUUGUGUGUCGUAACAUAACAAUGUACCUAGAUAUUGUUGAAAAAAUUAUGUAGUACAUUCAGCAGACCUGUAAAAGCUUACUAGUUUAUGCACAUUUAUCUCAUAAACAGAGUAAACAUUUUUUUUUUGGGUCCUUGACCUUGCAGAGCUUGCUUACACAAUGAAGAUCACAGAGAAAUGCGAUGUGUACAGUUUUGGAGUGUUAGUGUUGGAAGUGAUCAAAGGGAAGCAUCCAAGAGAUUUUCUUUCUUCGAUUUCAUCUUCAUCUCUCAACACGGGUACAGCACUUGAUGAAAUGCUGGACCCGCGUCUUCCAGCUCCAUCAUGCAGUGUUCAAGAAAAACUGAGAUCAAUCGUGGAGGUUGCGUCUUCAUGCUUAAAUGAGAGUCCGAAGUCUAGACCAACUAUGAAGAUAGUCAGUCGACAAUUGCAGAUUUCAGCUGCCUUGACUGAGUCUUAAUUUUCUAAGUAUACUUCUAAUUUACCUGGUGUCUUUUUUUUUUUUUUUUCUUCUUUCUUCUAAUUUGCUUGGUUUAUUUUUCUCAUGUACUGUAGUUUGUUGGGUAAUUUUCGGAUACCUCCCUGAGGUUUACCCCUGCUACACUUAGAGAGAAAGUAUGAAUAUAUUAACAUAUAGCACCCCUGACGUAUAUAAGCGUUAGGGAGCCGUUUGGUUUGACUGAGUCAUAAUUUUCUAAGUAUACUUCUAAUUUACUUGGUGUCUUUUUUUUUUCUUUCUUCUAAUUUGCUUGGUUUAUUUUUCUCAUGUACUGCAGUUUGUUGGGUAAUUUUCGGAUACCUCCCCUGAGGUUUACCCCUGCUACACUUAGAGAGAAAGUAUAAAUAUAUUGACAUACAGUGCGUACCACUGUAUUAAUUAAUGGCUGGCUCUUACUUACCAAUAAUGUUAAAUUAAAUGUUAAAAGAAAGGAAUAGAUAUGGGGGAAAAAAUUAAAAAUUGAGGAUAUAUAAUUUACAAUGUAGUCCUAGUGAUUUAACCAAAAAUCAAAUAAAGCAAUAAUAAUUAGUUUUUUUUUUUGAAUGAUUUGUUUUAGCUUUGAGUAAACGAUUUGAAGGAACUUAUCGCUCUCACCAAUUGUCUUGAAUGCUCUAAUGGCUUAUACUUUGUAGAAUCGCCAAUGUUGUGAUAACAACUUUGAUGGUUAAAGUUUGAUUGUGAAUCUCGAUUGAAUGACUUAAUUUACAUUUGAUUCGUAUGCCGACCUCUACCAAGUUAAUCUUUUUUUCUGGAUGUUUAAUUUUGUUAUCUCAAAGUUAAUUAGCUGAUGUCCUAUAUUUGAUCAAUGUGGAUGGCGGAACAAAAUUAAAGAAUUCUUGAACGAAGUUGAGGCCUUUACAGAGAUACGACGUCAGAGCAUUGUAAAACAUGACUGACAUUCAAUUAUAGUUUAUGAAUUUCUUGAAAGGGGUAGCUUGGCCAUAAUCUUGAGCAAUAAUGCAGCCACAGGAUAAAAGGCGUUGUCGAUGCCUUGUAAUAUUCGUUUGUUGCCAUUUUGAGGAAUAUUAUCAUCCAACACAUUCUAUAGAGAUAUAAAAGCUUACUAAUUUAUACGCAUUGAUCUUUCAAAAGCGAGUAAACAUUUUUUUUUCUUUUUUAUUUGUCCUUGACCUUGUAGAGCUUGCUUACACAAUCAAGAUCACAUAAAAAUGAGGUGUACAGUUUCGGAGUGUUAGUAUUGGAAGUGAUCAAGGGAAAGCAUCCAAGAGAUCAGAUGUUUUUUUCCGCAGUUUCAGCUUCAUCUUCCAAUGCCGCUUGAUGAAAUGUUGGAUGUUCAGAGCAAGUUGAUCAUUACUGUUUGAAUUUUAAAUAUCUGCCUUCAUUUCUGCUGCACAAGUUAAUUAUACGCAUCAUGCUUAUGCAGGCCUUAAUUCGGAGCAAAAGAAUGUUAUUAGUUGACAGAAUGUGCAACUAGAGAAGGAUUUCAUCCACCAAUUCAUAGUUAAUUAGUCUCUCUUCAACACAAAAUAGAAAAUUUAGUUGACAGAUGGCCACAAAAGACUAGCUUCGUUUUUGCUAAAAAAAUAAAUAAAAUCUGCUUCUAUGGCCCCUGUAAACCAAUUCCUUCAAUGCCCCCAAUUUCAAAACUAUCAUUGAUAUAGAGCCAUUGAACCUGGGCUUCAUAUUCAACUUUUCAGCGUUCCAUUUCUUGCCUGAAGUUUUUGAGAGCUUGGACGCACUUAGGGUGCGUUUGGGAUUGAGGUGCUGUAGCUUUUAAGCUACAGCUGCUGUGAAAAAAAAGCUGUAAUUAUGAAAUAAAAGUUAAUAAUAUAUAGUAAAUAUAAAUUUUAAAUAAUAAUUUUAUCAAAAUUAUUAAAGAUAUAAUAAAUUUUAUAUUAUACAAGUGAAAAAUUAUAUCAACAUAGCUUAAAAGCUACAGCAGCUAGUGUUUACCAAACACUUUAGUGCUGUAGCUUUUAAGCUACAGCUGCCCAACCUCAAUCCCAAACGCACCCUUAGUCUUGACAGUACUACAUAACCCUCGCGAGAUAUGUCCCAAAAUCCCCUGGGCCAUAAUUUUGCUACAAAACCCGACAGAAUUAAUGAUCCUUAUUAAUUAUGAAUUACAUCGUCCUUUGGUUGCACAAUUUUGGAUAAAAAAAUUGGACCAGUUUCGGUGAUCGGCUGAGCUUGUGUGGACUAUUAAGCACUAAAUCAAUAGUUGAGAUUUGUCCAACAUGAGUUUCACGUGGAUCCCAAUCAACUCUUGACCAUAGAUUCUGUACCCUACACAACAUGCUUAUGGUUUAAAAAUAAAAUAAAUCAUGUUAAUGCUUUGAAUCAAUACUUAAUGCAUUGACAAUCAUUUUCUUUGUGCACCGACUUGUCGAUAAAGAAAGUUUAAUGGUCCAUCUAUUAGUUUACAUCUGCUUAAUUUGAUUGGAAUGAAACGAAAUUAAUAGUUUCUUUGUUUUAAAAAAUAAAUAACUAUAAUUUCUUGAAUAUUCGAUGAAUAAACAAAAGAAUUGUGAAUGAAGUUUUGUUUAGUAUUAAGGUAUUGUUAUCUUUAAAUCACAAUUAUCAUGAAAAAUAAAGGUAUAAUAAAAAAAAGAAAUUGAUAAUUUGUAAUAAAUAUAAUUUUUAAAUAAUAAUUUUGAUAAAAAUAAUAAAGAUACUGUAAUUUUUCUAUCAUUAAAAUAAAAUCAUUUCAACUUUCAAGUCAUAGUGAUGAUAGAAUUAUAAAUUUUUAUAUAAAUUUAUUUUAUAUAAAUAGCUGCGUCAUAAAUUAUUAGUUAGAUAAAAAUAUAAAAUAAUAAAAUAAACUAUGUGAAAGAAAAAAUAUUUAAUCUAAUUAAUUUAAUUAUGUCAUGUUAAUUUAUAUAAAAUAAAGUCUUCUAUUUAUGUUGGCGUAAACCAGCACCGAUACACACAGUAUUCUAUUUGCUUGAGUGCUCUAUCCAAUUUUUCCGUCCAAUAUGAUUACUCUUAAAAUAAAGGAAGCCAUGGACCCCACGAACGAGACAUCACGUGGGCCCACUAACCUUGAUGAUAACAUCUUUUUCAUGUAAAAAAAACACCCCCGCUUUACAACGACACCGUCUUUUCUUUGUCUUUCCUUUCGUUUUCGUCAGCCUCCACCAACACUUCAAUAGCCGCCCCAUUUUCUUACACUCCUAUCCAUUGUCCACGCGUCCGACCAUGAUUGCUUCUCCGGUUCUAAUCUCAAGAUUUUCGUCAAAUGGACGUACGAGAUGGGCCCCAUCUCUGCGCAGACCACACCGUCUACUCUCUUUGUGAAAGGAAAAUAAAACUAUUAAAAUCUCUAAAUCAUUCUAUCUUCUCGUGAUAAAUUGAAUUCAACUCUUUUUUUAAUCUUUUAUUUAUAAAUUGUAAAUAAAAAAAUCAAAAGCAUUCAACUGAAUAUUCCUUUUUAGAAAUUAUAAAAACAGAAUUAUACAGUGGUGAACUUCCUUGCACGAACAUGACCUUGAUUCAAUUUAUUGAAUAUACGUAUAUGUUACUUUAAUAUACUUUUUUCUUAUAGUUUACAAAAUGUAGUGCUUAUUUUCUUUCUUAUACCAAACAAUAGAUGUGUAUGUAGGUUGAAGCAAAUAUAAUUUUAUAAACUAACACUAUGUUGUAUCGUUUUUGGUAAAAUAUUUAAUGUUGACAUCUUAUGACAUUAUUAUUAAAUCUUCAAUAAAGAUUCUUCAUUGUAUUGAACAAUUUUCUAUAUAAUAUAAAUUAUGUAUUUUGUCAUAAUAGAAACUGUUAAGAAAGAUUGUCUCAACUUUAUAUUAAGAAUUUGUAUUCAUAAAUAUAUAAUAUGAUCUGAACCUUAAACAUUAAAAUUGUUUCAUAACUUAGUUAUCAAUAAAAGAUUUAACAAUUUUUUAAUUAUUGAUUGUAAAUAUUAGCACAUUAUAAUACAAUAUUAAAAUAACCUUAAAGUUAAUUUAUUAUUGUCACAUUAUAAAUCUAUAGAAUUAAUUUGAAUUAGUAAAAUUAUUAAGCCAAAGUUAGAAAGAUAUAUCAAAUUUGGCUAGAACUACCUAUUAAAGAAACAUAUACGUAUUAUAUAUGGAUACAUUAUGUGGCAAAAAAAUGAAAACUUUGGCUAGUCAACCAAUUAAUCAAACAAGGUCCCCUCAAUAUAAUGAGAACUUGACCUUUUGCUUUAUAUUAGCAACAAGUUGAGUGUUGUGUGACUUAAGAUUAAAAUAUUAAUUAAACUACAAAAUUAUAUCAUUUAAGAAAUUAUAUUUAGGUAUUUACUUAAUUAAAAUUUUAGUUAGCCACCGAGUGAUUUAGAUUUAGAAUUUUAGAUAAGACUCUAGUUGAUCUCUCAUGUGAGAAUGUUAAUUCACUAAGCAUCAUGUGGCAUUUUCUUUAAAGAUUUUUGAAUUGUUUGAUGGUUGUGAGAGUAAAAUUUAAAUUAAUAAAAAUAAAUAUAAUUAUCAUGUUAACGGGACCACAUCUUAGUCGCUAAUUCAUAUAAGAAUAUGAAUUCAAAUAUCACAUAAAUGAAAUUAAAAAAAAAUAGAUUUAUUAACAUCGCAGUUACAAGUUGACUUUAAAUUUUUAAUGAAUCUGUCAUUAUAUUUUUUUCGCUGAAUAAUCAUAUUAAUAUUUAAGUUAUUAGAUAAGGGUCCAACAUUAACAUUUGAAGUUUAUGCUUUAAUAAAUUGUGUAAAUUCGAUAACAAAAACAUUAAAUUCAAAAAAAAGUAAAAUUUACAUGUUGUUCAGCUAGUGAUGCAGCGGAAGUUUAAUGUUCAAAAUAUUCCGUUGAUUCUAGAGAAUACCGGAAUAAAAGAACAACUAAAUUCACGUUGAUUCAAAAGAAUACCGCGAACUUAGGGGUUAAGACUCGUUGAUUCAGAAUACCGAGAAUUAACUGUUCAAAUACUCACAAAGAGAUUUGAAAAUUGAAAUAUUAUUGAACUCAAAAUUCUACCUUCAAAGGCUACAAGAGGGAGCUAUUUAUAAUAGUAGUAAUUAUCCUAAUUCAUGAAGUAAAACAAAAUCUUAAAUUGAAAGGGAAACAAAAUUCUAAAUUAGAAAUGAAUUAAAAAGUCUUUAAACUUUAGUUAAUAAGGAAACUAAUCCUAGUAUAAUAUGGAUUCCUACUCUUCAUCAUUCCCCCCAGGGUAGAGAGAAUUCGCCCUCGAAUUCGGAGUGUCAGCAACCACAUCUUCAUCAUGGUCACCUCUAUAAGGAAUAAGAUGCUUGACAGUAAAUACAUCUGCGGUGCGGAUAUGACUAGGAAGCUUUAAUCUGUAGGCAUUAGGAUUUAUCUUCUCUAUAAUCUCCAAAGGGCCGAUUUUCCUGGCAGAAAGCUUGUUGUACUCACCAACCGAGAAUCUAUCUUUAGUUAGGACAGCCCAAACAAGAUCACCCACUUGAAAUUCCAAAACUCGACGUUUUUUGUCUGCCACAAUUUUAUAACCUUCGGUUGUCUGCUUCAAAGACUCUUGCGUAGUUUCAUGAAUUUUCUUAAGUUGCUCAAUAAAGUCUUCUGCUUUACUACUUUUGCGAACUAAAUCUGGAAUUGGAGCCAAGUCGAUGGGAGCUCGUGGAUUAUAUCCGUAAUUCACCUGAAAAUGGCUUAAACUAGUACUGCGCUUAACUGCACGGUUAUAAGCAAACUCGACUUGAUAUAACUUUUGAUCUCACAUCUUCAGGUUAUCGCCGACUAGACUACGUAGAUGGUUGCCUAAAGAACGAUUGACAACUUCGGUUUGACCAUCUGUUUGUGGGUGGUAGGCACUACUAAAAUUCAGGCGAGUGUUAGUUAACUUCCAUAAUGUCUUCCAAAAAUGGCUAAGAAAUCGUGUAUCCCGGUCAGAUACUAUAGAACUCGGUAAACCAUGCAAUCUAUAGACUUCCUUGAAGAAUAGACGAGCAACAGUCAAAGCGUCUGUAGUCUUUUUGCAGGCAAUGAAGUGAGCCAUUUUCGAGAAUCGAUCAACAACAACAAAUAUUGAAUCCAUACCCCUCUGAGUGCGGGGUAAUCCCAAAACAAAAUCCAUGCUAAUGUCAGCCCAAGGUUGUAUUGGAAUCGGCAGCGGCAUAUAUAACCUAGCAUUAGUUGCUGCGCCCUUGGAAACUUGACAAAUGCGACAAGUCUCGACAUAGUGAUAGACUUCACGCCUCAUAGUAGGCCAAAAAUAAGUGUUGCCGAUUAGAGCCAGAGUUUUGUCACGACCCAUGUGCCCUUCGUUAUGUAACUCUAAAAUAAUUUUCAAUCUCAAACUUGAGUCAGGAACACACAAUUGAUUACUCUUGAAAAGGAAUUCGUCAUGUAAAUGAUAAUCUGAGCGAAACCCUACAACAACGUCUUCUAAUAUAGGAGCAAAGUAAGGAUCAGAAGCAUAUAACUCUCAAAAUGUGUCAAAUCCGAGAACUUGAUUAUGCAUCUGUGUCAAUAAAGAAGUUCGUCGACUAAGUGCAUCUGCUGCCCGGUUGGAUUCACCAGAGGUAUGCUUCACCACAAAAGUAAAUUGUUGAAGGAAUGUUGUCCACGUGGCAUGUCUGUGAGAGAGCUUGUCUUGACUAUUGAGGUAUUUUAACGCGGCAUGGUCAGUGUAUAAAACAAAGUCUUUAUGAAUUAGAUAAUGUCGCCAAUGUUUUAACGCUUGGACUACUGCGUAAAAUUCCACGUCAUAAGUGUUGUAGUGUGCCUUUGCUCCAUUUAACUUCUCACUGAAAUAAGCUAUAGGCUUACCCUGUUGGCUAAGAACAGCUCCAAUGCCGACCUUAGAAGCAUCACAAUGUACCUCAAAAGUGAGCGAAAAAUCUGGUAGAGCAAGUACUGGGGCAGUAAUCAACUUUUCUUUGAUAAUCUUGAAUGCCUUAGUAGCUGCCUUUGUCCAAGAGAAUUGUCUUCCUUUCAUGCAAUCUGUGAUUGGUGCCAUAAUAGUACUGAAAUAAGGAAUGAAUCGCCUGUAAAAAGAGGCUAAUCCAUGGAAACUUCUGGUGGCGGAUAAAGUAGUUGGCUGAGGCCAAUCUCGAAUAGCAUCCACUUUUGAUUGGUCAAUAGAUAUACCAUCCUUCGACACCACAUAUCCAAAAAUAAUACUUUCUCUGUCAAGAAAAUACACUUGUUUACUGCUGUGUAUAAACUUGUUGCUCUUAAGGCUAAAAGCACUUCUCUCAAAUGUUGUAGAUGUAACUCGUGACUGGUGUUAUAUAUAAGUAUAUCAUCGAAGUAAACAACCACAAACUUUCCAAUGAAAGGGCGAAGAACUUGAUUCAUGACUCGCAUAAAAGUACUCGGAGCAUUGGAUAAGCCAAACGGCAUUACCAACCACUCUUAUAACCCUUCGCGAAUUUUAAAAGCUGUUUUCCAUUCAUCUCCAGGCCGUAUUCGAAUUUGAUGGUAGCCACUUUUCAAAUCAAGUUUGGUAAAAAUUGUUGCUCCACUGAGUUGAUCUAACAAGUCAUCUAAUCGAGGGAUUGGAAAACGAUAUCGAACUGUAAUUUUAUUGAUAGCUCGACUGUCCACGCACAUCCUCCAAGAACCAUCUUUUUUUGGAGUCAAUAAAGCAGGGAUUGCACAGGGACUAAGACUUUCACGGAUAAAUCUCUUUUCUAGUAACUCUUCCACUUGGCGCCUUAAUUCUUCAUGUUCUGUAGGACUCAUACGAUAAUGAGGUCGAUUUGGUAAUGUAGAACCUGGUACCAAAUCAAUUUGGUGUUGUAUAUCCCGAAGAGGUGGUAAACCCUGUGGUAGCUCAUUGGGGAACAAAUCUUGAAAUUCUGUCAGAAUAGGUGUCACAGCUUCAGGAAUCUUCGAAUCACUGUUACUCUAUUUUCCCAAUAAAAUGUAGACUCUCUUUGUCUCUGCUACAACAUCUAUAAAUUGUUUCUUGCCUAACAAAUAAUUACCCAAAUCUUGCUGGAGAGUAAACUCCUUGUUAGGUAGGAGAACGAUCUUGGUGUUGUUAAACAUAAAGUUGUAGGUGUUUCUCUUCCCAUCAUGCACUACGUUUCGAUCAUAUUGCCAAGGUCUACCCAGUAAUAGAUGACAAGCAUCCAUAGCCACAACAUCACACUAAAUUUUGUCUUUAUAAAUUGAACCAAUGGAUAAGGAAACUAAACAACGUUUUGAUACUGUCAUUUGAUUUCCCUUCUUCAGCCAUGUGAGCUUAUAUGAAGUUUGAUGAGGUUCUGUCUUUAAAUUUAGCUUUGUUAUGGCUUCUUCCGAAAUGACAUUCUCGCAAUUGCCUGAGUCUAUGACCAUACGACAUACUUUACCCCCAAUUGUGCAAGUAGUCUGAAAGAUAUUUUGUCGUAGCCACUUGUCUUUGUCUUGCCCUUUAGGAGUGAAGAAUGCACGGUUCACGAUCAACAUUGGUCCGCUAUCACCAUGUUCUUCAACAGAUUGAGCGCUACCACUACUAUCAAAAGUUGGCUCUACAGCGAACUCUUCAAUUUCUUCCUUCUGAUAGUCUUCGCUUUCCUCUGUGCCUACGAAUAAGCCUUUACCAUAUUUUCCUCCCUUUUUACAUUCUGUCAUUCGGUGCCCAUUUUCUCCGCAAUUAAAACAGCGUAAUCCCGAACCCGAGGAUUGAGUUUUGCUGCUUUGACCGAUUUCACUAGGUUUACUAGUUUUAUUUGGAGGAUUUGGAGGAGUGAAAUUACGAAAUUGGGAAGUCGGGUUUGAAUUAUCACAAACAACACUUCGAGCACCCUGAAAGCUUGAGUCAUUUGUACGUCGACUAAAUUGCUUCUCCAACUGCAAGGCUUGUUGGUGUGCCUCUGAAACAGAGUAUGGGUCAAAUAAAUUUAAUUGGUCUUGAAAUUGAGAUCGUAGGCCUCCAAUGUAGCAGGAAACCUGUUGUUCUUCUGUCUCUGUCAAGUCAUUGCGUGCCACCAACCAAUGAAAUUCUGUAGUGUAAUCAUCCACUGAUCGAUUACCUUGCCUUAAAUUCUGUAGCUGUUGGUAUAACAGUUUGGCGUAAUUAUGAGGAAAGAAUGCUCCACGCAAGUGCUUCUUGAACUUUUCCCAAGAAUCAAUCUUCUUUUUGCCUUGCCUAAUCCUUGUGAGCUUAGUUUGUUGCCACUAAGCUGCUGCUCUUCCACGAAAUCGAGUUGCAGCAAGCGAAACUAGUUUAUUUUCAGGAACUUCUUUGUAUUUGAAAACUUCCUCAAUGGCGUUAAUCCAAUCCAAUAAUUCUUCAGGUUGACCACUUCCUUGAAAUUCGGGAAUGUCAAUUCUCAACCCAGAUUCCCAUCUUCUGUCAUCAGUAGACUCAGUUCUAGGUCGACGCCCAAAGAAUGGGUUAGCAAAGCUUCCACUUGAUUUGUCUUCACGUUCUGGAGUACGAUGGUGUUCGUCAAGUAACUCUGUCAUUCGUGCCAUUUGUGCAGCUAGUAUAUCAAUUCUGGCUAUCAUACUAGCCAGGGCUUCAUCUUUAGAAACAUCUUCUUGAUUGUAAGUUGCAGUAUGAGCAUCACGAGCUUUUCUUGGAGGCAUCUUAUCAAAUUCGGGUUUAAAAAGGUAGUGGGGCUAAACUGAAAGUAAAUAAAAAUUUUAGGCCGAAACUGUAAUUAAGCAAAAGUUUUAGAUUUCUGAUGACGGUAGUCGGAAAUCGAGUAAGGAUGGGUGGAUCUGAAAGAUUUUGGGUUGGUAAGUAUGAUGGUGGUGGUGGUUUGUCCGAAAAAGUGGUGUUUUGGCCGGAAAUUGUAGAUAAAGCCGGCGGUUUUUGAGGGCUUCGGUUUCCGGUGGUUUGAGCGUCGAUCGGCGGUGAGGAAUGGUGGGAAAGGUUCAGUUGAUGGAGAGGAAUGGACUGAUGGUGAUACCGGGUUUUGGUUCUGAUACCAAAUUGAUGCAGCGGAAGUUUAAUGUUCAAAAUAUUCCGUUGAUUCUAGAGAAUACCGGAAUAAAAGAACAACUAAAUUCACGUUGAUUCAAAAGAAUAUCGUGAACUUAGGGGUUAAGACUCGUUGAUUCAGAAUACCGAGAAUUAAUUGUUCAAAUACUCACAAAGAGAUUUAAAAAUUGAAAUAUUAUUGAACUCAAAAUUCUACCUUCAAAUGCUACAAGAGGGAGCUAUUUAUAAUAGUAGUAAUUAUCCUAAUUCAUGAAAUAAAACAAAAUCCUAAAUUGAAAGGGAAACAAAAUUCUAAAUUAGAAAGGAAUUAAAAAGUCUUUAAACUUUAGUUAAUAAGGAAACUAAUCCUAGUAUAAUAUGGAUUCCUACUCUUCAUGAGCUAGUCUUGGAAUGACAGAGUACUUGUUCAAUACUUAUUACGACCAAAAUAAAAUUUUUUGAUUCGCCAUGUCUUUCAAAUUUGUAAUCAAAUGGCAGAUGUUUUAACUAAAUUUGUACUCUGUUGCUUUGAUUUUUAUGUUUGGCUCGAUCCCAGCCAAUUACUUUGUUAUUUUUUAUUGGUUAUUCGGAAAUAAAUGAAGUAUUAUUCAGAAAAAUAAUUACCUGCAAAAAUCGUACCCCAUUUUCAAUUAUUCGUAUCCAAAAUCUUACAAAAAGGUAAUAAUAUUCCGAAUUAAUUAAAAAAAAAUGAUGCAUAAGCAGGCAAGUCUACAAGAAACCGACCGAAAAGCGCAAAAGAAAAACAAAAGAAACACGUUCAUUCAAUUUAUCGCGAUACUAUAAAUGCUUAACAAAAUGUCAUAUCAAUUUCACCAUCAAAACUACGGUAAUUUCUUAUAUAGAUUAAAAAAAAUUAAAAGCAAAUAAAAACAAAAACAAAAAAGCAACAACUGUACUGCAACUUACCGCUCCCAAUUUUCCAAUGAAUAAAAUAAGAGUUAUUUUAAAAUACCUCUUCCGAGAUUUGAUAUAAUUUCAGUCGGAUGGUGAAAUUGAUUGUAUUCUCACUUAUCUUCUUUAUAGUUAUUAUACAUACACGUAUAAUGUUAGUAUUUGAAGGCAAAAAUAUAAAAGACAUGUUGAAAAUCUAAAAAAAAAAAGUAACAAUUAAAAAUGGUUUGAAAUUCAUUAGAUAAUUAUAUUAUCUAAUUACACUAAAUAUCAAUUGUGUAAAAGAGUGAAUUUUCUCUUUCUCCAGCACAAAAAAGUAAUGGAAAUGUCUUGCUCUCACAUCAAGAAUCAAAGCAUUUUCCACUCCACUCCCCUACUCUUAGUUGCUAGAACAAAAGCAAAUAAACACAAAGAGCAUAUAUAACCCAUGAAGAAGACAAGCAUGGGUGGUCGGAAAAGGCCACCGACCAGUGACGAUUGACGGCGAUCGGAAUAUGCCACUGGUAUUGGAGUUUGUAAGAGGUUAGUUACUUUAUCAAAGUCUAAAAUUUUUAAAUACCUUUAAUUUUCUUAUUUUUGGAGAUUUCAUAAGUAGUUGUUGAUUGGGUUUGAUUUUCUUGUUCAUUGGGUUGAUGGUGGAAAAAUUGAUUAAAAGGAGAAUGGGUUCAACAAUAUGUGGGCAUGAGUUGAAAAAAAAUUGUUAUUGGUUGUUUUUUGUUUGUGAUUUACACCAUAAAUAGUAUAAUAAAGUAUAUAAAGCCAAUAAUUUGUGAUUUUUAUGACAAAUAAGUAUGUAAAAUAGAAGUAGUCUUAGCUGUAAUUUUUAUUUUUUUUGGCCAAAGUUUGCUAAAGUUGAUCUGUUUAUAAAUUUGUAGUGUUUUUGUGCGCCCAACGCACAAACACAGUUUUUGUGUUUUUGAGAGACAGGGGCCUGUCCCCCGUGCGACAGACCCACGUUGCACGAACACAGUUUGUGUUUUUGGGCGACAACAUUGUCGCCUGUGUGACAGGCUUAUGUCAUCCGAAUUCAGUUUCUGUGUUUUUGGGCGACAAUGCUUGUCGUACAGGCGACAACCCCUGUCGCCCAAAAAACACAGUUUGUGCUUAAUAUUAAUUCAAAAUAAAAAUAGUAAACUGACACUCACACACACAUAAUUAAAACAUAUAUAUACAUUAUUAUUAUCACAAUUAUUAUUAAUAACUUUAUUAAAAUGUAUUACUAUUAUCAUUAUUUUUCUUUAUUAUUGUAAAUGUUGUUUUUGUUUUUUAGUAAUGUCAUUAUUAUUAUUAUUAUUAUUAUUAUUAUUAUUAUUAUUAUUAUUAUUAUUAUUAUUAUUAUUAUUAUUAUUAUUAUUAUUAUUCUUUUUCUUCUUCUUCUUCUUCUUAAUUAUUACUUUGUUUUCACUUAUUAAUGUCUGCAUAUUAAAAUAUGAUCGGGACGAAAUGCCAACUGAACCGUCUGUUGUUUCACUAGAACCUACAGCAGAAAUGGACUGAUUUGACUUAGCAAACGAGAAUAAGUUUGCUCUCCCUGAUUUGAAUGGUGAGGUUCACAUUGAGCAGGUGACAACAAUAGAAGCUUCUCUUGAGAGGAUGCCAGCAAAUGACGAUGGAGAUCGCUAUGCGGAUGAACCUACAGAAAAGGAUAUUGAAAAUGAUUUGCCUCACGCUGAUAGCGAAUGAGAAUUUAAUGAAGUUGUUGGCGCUGCGCUUGAAUUUUUGUAUAUUCUGUAUAAAUGUGAUACUAACGAACUCACAUUAUAGUGACAAUGCCAUGUAUAAAGUAUAACUCAACUAUCACAGUAUAUUGUUAGUGUAGUUGAUCUUUUUGUUCUUUUUGUGUAUAUGAGUGAUUGUUGGAUGUAUAGGUUGAUGAAAUUCAGUCAAUUUGUGACUAUCACCAACUGUAAGCUGCGGAAAUGCACAUGUCGCCGUAAUUUAAAUUAUGAUGUCGUUCUACUUAGUGUUAUUUUCUAAUUCAAUUAACUCAUACUAAUGUUUUUUUUUCCUUUUGGUACAAAUUUAAAUGUUUGUUAUUUGUGUUGUUGGUUUGGUGAUAUACAACUUGAUGGUUUGGAAUUUACUUAUUUCUUUAAACAACUAAAAUACUACUGGGUUAGUGGUGAUGGAAUCCUUUAAUGUAUUUUGGAGACUGGUAUAGUCUGUUGCUGAGAAAACUAAAUUAUAUUUUAGUGGUUUUGAUUUCACGCGACAGUUUCUGUCUCCCAAGAGACGAGCAUUCGUCACUCAAAAUUAGUUAAACAAGUUUUAUGUAAUUUGGUGAGACAGCCACCUGUCUCCCGGGAGAUGAGCAUUUGUCACUUAAAAUUACAGAAACAAGCUUUCUGUAAUUUGGGGAGACAGACACCUAUCGCCCAGGAGACAGUGCCUGUCACUUAAAAAGUAGGCGCGAUUGCGAUAGACCCUGUUGCGUGCGCGAUUUUACAGAAAUCCAAAAUAGCCUCUUAAGCUUGUUGUCGCAAACUUUUUGUGCUAGAUGAUGAGCUUACAAAACAGGACUUUGCAUGAAUGCACCAUCAACACCUUAAUCUACCUAAAAUGAGACAAAAAAACCCUAAUAGAUAUUUUGUCGAGCACCUUAUAUGCCAUUUAUUAACUACCAAUUUCAUUAAAUCAUUUUUAAUAUUUACUCGACAAUCAAUCCUAAUGCUCAUUUAUAAUCAUCUAUACACUCAUAUGUCAUCAAUAAAUCUUAGUAUAUGUUACUUUAAUUCAACUGAUAUUCCUGUUGAGAAAUUAUAAAAACAAAAAUUAUACGGUAGCCAACUUCCUUGCAUGAACAUGACCUUGAUUCAAUUUAUUGAAUAUACGUAUAUGUUACUUUAAUAUACUUUUUUUUUUAUAGUUUACAAAAUGUAGUGCUUAUUUUCUUUUGUAUACCAAAUAAUAGAUGUGUAUGUAGGUUGAAGCAAAUAUAAUUUUAUAAACUAACACUAUGUUGCAUCGUAUUUGGUAAAAUAUUUAAUGUUGACAUCUUAUGACAUUAUUAUUAAAUCUUCAAAAAAGAUUCUUCAUUGUAUUAAACAAUUUUCUAUAUAAUAUAAAUUAUGUAUUUCGUCAUAAUGGAAGCUGUUAAGAAAGAUUGUCUCAACUUUAUAUUAAGAAUUUGUAUUCAUAGCUAUAUAAUAUGAUCUAAACCUUAAACAUUAAAAUUGUUUCAUAACUUAGUUAUCAAUAAAAGAUUUAACAAUUUUUUAAUUAUAAAUCAUAAAUAUUAGCACAUUAUAAUACAAUAUUAAAAUAAACCUUAAAGUUAAUUUAUUAUCGUCACAUUAUAAAUCUAUAGAAUUAAUUUGAAUUAGUAAAAUUAUUAAGCCAAAGUUAGAAAGAUAUAUCAAAAUUGGCUGGAACUGCCUAUUAAAGUAACAUAUAUGUAUUUUAUAUGGAUACAUUAUGUAGCAAAAAAAAUGAAGAUUUUUGUAACAAACUUGGCAAAUAUCUAAAUUGCUAUGUUGAUACUAAAUAAUUAAUCGCUUUAAGAAUCCAUUUACUUUUGGUGUAAAUCAAAAGGAAGACGAUAGAUUCACGGAACUUCUGCCUCAAAAAAGCAAACGAUCCAAAUUGGAUAAAUAGUCAAUCAAUUAAUCAAACAAAGUCGUCUAAAUAUAAUGAGAACUUGACCUUUUGCUUUAUCUCAGCAACAAGUUGAGUGUUGUGUGACUUAAAAUUAAAAUAUUAAUCAAACUACAAAAUUAUAUCAUUUAAGAAAUUAUAUUUAGGUAUUUAUUUAAUUAAAGUUUUAGUUAGUCACCGAGUGACUCUUAAGUGAGAAUGUUAAUUCCUUGAGCAUCAUGUGACACUUUCUUUAAAGAUUUUUGAAUUGUUUGAUGGUUGUGAGAGUAAAAUUUAAAAUAAUAAAAAUAAAUGUAAUUAUCAUGUUAAUGGGACCACAUUUUAAUCAUUAACUCAUAUAAGAAUAUGAAUUCAAAUAUCAUGUGAAUGAAAUUUGGAAAAAAAAAAUAGAUUUGUUAACAUCACAGUUACAAGUUGACUUUAAAUUUUUAACGGGUCCAGCUACUAUACCCAUGAGGUUUGGUACCCCAUUCUUUUGUCUUUUUCAAAUCCAUCGUUGGAUUUAACUUGAGAGUUGUAUAAUGGUUAGAUGUGAUUAUUGGGUCAUUAACAUUAAAAACCCUUGUUGUUCAUGCAAAAUAAGAAAAAUCAAAAGUUUUAUAAUUAUGACAUAUAAGUCCACAAUAUUUAUUUUUUUACUCUAUUGAACUAGGUUUUCAAUUAAAUGACUUAUUCUUACAUUUAUUAAUAUCUAUUUAAAUUAAUAAAUUUACUUAUUAAUUAAUUAAUUAAUUAAUAUAUUAACUAAUUUAUUACAUAGUUAAACUAUGUAAAUUAUUUACUAACCAUAAUUGAUGAUAAAUAUAAAUAUGAUUUUUUUUUUUUAAUUUAACACGGCAACCAAUUUCCUUUCACCCGUGUGAGCAGAGUUCAAACCCCAUAUCUUUUUCUUUUUUUUUCUCAAACAAGAGAUUUUAUAUGUAAAGUAGAUGGAAUACACAAAAUACGAAAAUAAAUUUAAUUUCAUAUUCUAUGUAGGUAAUGUUUUGUUAUUUUUUUAUAACAUAAUAUUUAAUUAACAUACUAAAUUAUUUAAUUAUGUAGUAAAAAUAUUUUAAUUUACUAAUAAUAAUAAAGUGUUGUUUAUGAAUUUGUAAAAUCAUUUUUGUUUGUUUGAGCAAUGAGUUUUGUAUUUUUGAUUGAAUUUUUUUCCUAAAAUAAAAGGAGUAAAUUUAAUUGUAUACUUAAAUAAAUUUAAUUGAGUUUUUGUCCUGAAAAUCGUGGCUUCCAUAAGCAUUAAUGCAAUUAAAAAUUUGUAGGGGUAGGACUAAUAUGUGAAAAUUUAAAACUUUUUAACUUUUUUGUUUUUAGAAUAAAUUACAGGACUCUAUUAUAAUUGACCUUAAGAAAAAGACAAAAAGGUGUACCAAACCCUAGUUGCAAAGUAGUUUUGCCCCCAACAUUAACAUUUGAAGUUUAUGCUUUAAUAAAAUUGUGUAAAUUCGAUAACAAAAACAUUAAAUUCAAAUAAAAGUAAAAUUUACAUGUUGUUCAGCUAGUCUUGGAAUGAUAGAGUACUGGUAUAGAAUUAUGAUGUUCAAUACUUAUUACGACCAAAAUAAAUUUUUUUGAUUCGCCAUGUCUUUCAGAUUUGUAAUCAAAUGGCAGAUGUUUUAUCAAAAUUUGUAUUCUGAUGCUUUGAUUUUUAUGUUUGGCUAGAUCCCAGGCAAUUACUUUGUUAUUUUUUAUUGGUUAUUUGGAAAUAAAUGAAGUCUAUUAUUCAGGAAAAUAAUUACCUGCAAAAAUCGUACUCCAUUUUCAAUUAUUCGUAUCCAAAAUCUUACAAAAAGGUAAAAUAUUCUGAAGUAAUUAAAAAACGACACGUAAGCAGACAAGUCCACACGAAACCUACCUAAAAGCGCAAAACAAAAAAUAGAAAGAAAAAGAAACACGUUCAUUUAAUUUAUCGCGAUACGAUAAAUGCUUAACAAAAUGUCAUAUCAAUUUCACCAUCAAAACUACGGUAUUUUCUUAUAUAUAUUAAAGAUUUUUUUUUAAAGCAAAUAAAAACAAAAAAAAAAGCAACAAUUUCCCAAUGAAUAAAAUAAAUAUAAAGGACUCGUGCAUGCCUACCAUUUCCCUCCUGUUUUUGUCACCCGCCUCCUCCUCAUCUCGCCACCUGUUUCCCCCACUACACCCCCCAAAACGUCACCGUUUCAUUCUCACUCCUUCCUCACACCCCUCCUUUUCCCCACAUUCCUUCGUUUCAUAUCAACUCAAAAAUUCAUUCUUUCAACAUUAAUAAUAAUAAUUUUAUUGAAAUAAAUCAAUCAAAAAGGUAACCCCAAAUAUCUCCUCCAGCUUUUUGCUGCUUCUUAAUUUUGAUCGACUAUGACGAUGUACUAAAGCUUCAAUUUUUUUCGGUUUUUUCAGUCAACGCUUUUGCUUCAAGAUUUCGUUUUACCUUCCUUGAAAAUUAAAGCUCACCUAAUUGAUACGAUUAAAGUUCUUUUUUUAGCUGAAGAUUGAUACAAUUUUCACUUCAUUUUUUUUCUUAACUUUGUAUCCGGAUUUGCUACUUUUGUUUAAAGUUUUUUAUUUUUUUAUAUUUUUCUGUGGAGCUAAGCAUGACUUUGGUUACAGCUUUAUAUUAUUUUAACAUAUAAUUAGACUAAUUUAUUUAUUUGUGGAUUUAUUAUUUUUUAAAUAUGGUUUGAGACUUCUGAUGUUUCAAUAUUUAUUGCACACGUGUAGUGCAGUGGCUUUAAUGAAUGUGGUAUUGUAAAGUUUAAAGCUUUUUGCAUGUGAAUGAGUUGGUGUGUACUCUUCCAUUGAUGUUUAGAUUCAUGUAUGUGGUGAUCUCUGAUCUGGGUACACGUUAGAUUUUAAUUUUAUGGCAUGGUUCAUUUGACCAAAUUUUAUUGUUACUUGAACUGAUGAACACGAAUUUUGAAGUGAAUACGUGUGUUUGAUUGACUGGAUUUUGUAAGAUUCCUUUGUAGAAGUAUUUUAAUCCCACGAAGAGUAUGAUUCAGCAAAUAGCUUUGGGAAUGGUAUUGAUUCUAUUCUUGCUUGUUUAUUCAUAUAAUAACUUUGAUGCAACCUUCAGAUUCCUUUUGAACCAUGUAGUUAUAUAUUUGGAUUAGUUUAUAGCAUAUCAACUGUUGAUUGUUGCAUUUAGAUGUUUUUUGUUACUUCCGCUCUUGAUUGCUUAUUAUAUGUCAGUUAAAGAGCAAACAUUAUACAAGUUCUUGAUUGAUUAGUGCUCUUUCGUAUAACGGGUUCGUGACUGAUGUUCACUUUCUUAUUUGACUUUGUUUAUGCAGUUCUUGUAGCGAGAUUGUGUAAUUUGAAUAUUCAGAUACUUCCGUAGCUGAUGGCUUCGCCAGAUAUUGAGCCUCCCUGGAUUUGUGCCGCUGGCGAAUCCUUCUGUGGGUCAUUUAAUAUACGCGUGGAGGAGGGGAAUGCAGCCGAUUUUUUACAUGUGCUGGAAGUUCCCACCUCUUCUGUACCCUAUAACUGUAGUAUACCCAAGCCACCCCCUCUCCCAUGUCUAUUAACUCACCAGUAUACCGGAAUGAGCUGGGAUACAGGACUUACGCAACGAAGAUCACAGAAAAACCCGACGUGUACAGUUUCGGAGUGUUACACUGGAAGUGAUCAAGGGGAUACAAGAGAUUUUCUUUCCUCAGUUUCGUCUUCAUCUUCCAACAUGAACAUGCACGAGUAGCUGCUCUGCUAUAUCUAUUGGUUGCCUUCAUUACUCAUUGUUGCACAAGCUAAUCGUACACAUCAUGCUAUGUACGCCUCAAUUCGGAACAAAAGAAUGCUAGUUGAAGACACACAACUCAAAAAAGAAAAAUUUAGUUCGCAGAUGGCCACAAAAGACUAGCUACGUUUUUGUCCAAAAAAAAAAAACAAAAGAAAUAAACUGUAGUUCCAUGACCCACUUUCAAAACUAUCAUUGAUAUAGAACCAUUAGUUCCAUCUCUCGCCUAAAGCUUCGGGAGAUAUGGUAAAAAAUCUCCUUAUCGCCAUAGUUUUGCUACAAAAGCCAAUAGAAUUAAUGAUCCUUAUAAAUUAUGAAUUACAUCCUAAUCUAGUUGCAUUAUUUUGGAUUUAAAAAAAAAUCUUGCUUUGAUCAUCAUACCGAUUGGAAAUAUCAAAUUCUAAGGCUCGUCAUUAAUUGGGACAAAAUUUUAAUUACAUCUCAACUUUGUAAAUAGAAGUACUUAUCAUUGAAAUAUAAUUAAAGUAGCAAGAGGCCGUUUGAAGUGUAAAAUGAAAAGGAGAGAGAAGGGUAGCUAUAGAUGGAUAAGAUAUGGGUCAGAAGGAGUCAAAAUUUGAUAAAACCUUUUGGGAUUGUAUCUAACAACAUUUUUUUUCCCGGUUGGAUCUCAGUGUUUAUACAAAAGCAAAGAUUUGGAUGACUAAAAUGUGACGCUAUACUUAUAAAGUAGAGAUAUAGAGUUUAUCACCAGUGUAACAUAUACAUGGUCUUUACACAAUUCACCAUGUGACAGAUGAUAAGGUAAAUUAUCAAUUAAAAACAUGACAGUUUGUAGUAAUGUUAGAUCAUAUGAUAUGCUUAUUGAGUUAAUGGUCAUGUUCGGUCCAAUUGAAUAAGUCUAAAGUAUUAGUAAAGUUGAAUAAGUCUAAUUUAGUUGAGAUAUUAUCAACUUAGUUUGUCAAGUAUCCAGUUCCUGAUUUGUUGGGAUUAUUUUGUUUCAUUCCUGUUUAUGUGUUUGUCUGGCUUGUAUAAAUAAGCCAUUGUUGAAUGAUGAAGGCAUGAAUCAUUUUAUCAAAGAAAUACUUGUGUUACAUCUUGGAGGGAUUGGCUUCCUCGAAUUAGCCAACUGUUAACGUUACCAAGUGCAAGGGCAAGAUAGGAAGAGACAAGCAGAAUAAAAAUAGCUUGCCUGUAUCAUCAUAUGUCACACUAGUUGAGAUUGAAAUUAAAAAUUAAGAAGUCCUAUACUCAAAGUGGUUCUAACACAUUGUAGAUGCAAUUCAAUGCUUGAAUGGAUAUUUGCGAGGGAAUAUGAUCCUCUCCUAAUAUGAGCACUACUAAGCUUUUAAACAAUGUAAGAACUUGUUUUCUCCAGAUUAAGAAAUUAGAUCGAUCUAGUUUUAUUGGAUUACUAAAUGAGAAUGAGAUCUGUGAGGAUUGAUUUGCAUUUGUUGAAUUUGAAAGUGUUGUUGUGUUGCUGGAACUAGCCAUACUGGCUCUGAUACCAUGAAAGAAAUUAAGAAAAUUGUUGUUUGGUUGCUGAGAAAAUAUCUCAGAAAAUUUCCAGAGAACUUCCAGAAUACCUGUAUUUAUUUUUCUUAAAUGGAAAUGUUAUAAUUACAACUUAUUUAUACUUGAUGCUUAAGCAUUACUAGAGCUAAUGAUUAACUGAUUCAGAAGAAUCUACACAUGCUCAACUACAGCUCGAUAUACAGAGUAAACAUAACAAACUCUCAACUACUUGAGCUGAGGUGGCAGCUGAGCUGUCAUUCUGCUCAUACUCAUCUGACGCCACCAGCUUGCUGGUUUUCCUUAGCUUGAGCACCUUCCUCUUUUCUGCACAGUGAGCUUCUCUAACAGUUACCAAGUCCAAGUGGUUCUAACACAUUGUAGAUGCAAUUCAAUGCUUGAAUGGAUAUUUAUGAGGGAAUAUGAUCUUCUCCUUAUUUGAACUCUACUAAGCUUUUAAACAAGGUUUACUCGACAUCGAAACAUUGUGAAGUUUUAUGGAUUUUGCUCACAUGCCCGACACUCUUUUAUGGUCUAUGAAUUUCUUGAAAGGGGUAGCCCAUGUCUUACUUGCACCAUGACUGCUUUCCUCCGAUUGUCCAUCGAGACAUAUCAAGUAAGAACUUGUUGCUGGAUUUGGAAUAUGAAGCUCAUGUUGCAGACUUUGGAAUUGCUAAGUUUCUGAAGCCGGACUCGUCCAACCGGUCUGAAUUCGCAGGCACAUACGGACACGUUGCACCAGGUAUUUAGUAUUCGCUUGUUGCCAAUUUGAGGAAUAUUUUUAUGUUAUGGGUGUGGUAUCAGGACAAUGUACCUAGAUAUUGUUGAAAAAAAUUAUGUAGUACAUUCAGUAGACUAGUUUAUGCACAUUUAUCUUAGAAACAGAGUUUGCUUACACAAUGAAGAUCACAGAGAAAUGCGAUGUGUACAGUUUUGGAGUGUUAGUGUUGGAAGUGAUCAAAGGGAAGCAUCCAAGAGAUUUUCUUUCUUCGAUUUCAUCUUCAUCUCUCAACACGGAUACAGCACUUGAUGAAAUGUUUGACCCGCGUCUUCCAGCUCCAUCAUGCAGUGUUCAAGAAAAACUGAGAUCAAUCGUGGAGGUUGCGUUUUCAUGCUUAGAUGGGAAUCCAGAAUCGUGACCAACCACGCAGACAGUCAGUCAAUUACGAAUAAUCUAAUAAUUACGAACAAUCCCAAGGGGUUGGAGACUAAGAUUUAAGGUGAACUGCCACGGAGGAGUCAGAAUCAAUCACUAAAAUAAUUGCCAUAACCUCAGCAUAGUAAUAAUUAAAAAAUAAUUUCUUGCGCAUGUACAAAGAGGUGAACCCCUCGAAUGUAAACUUGAAAGUGUUCACAACUGGAUUAAUUAAUGGACAAUUCAUAGUUAUUGUUAAUGUUAAAAGAAAGGAAUAGAUUGGGGAAAAAAAAUUAAGGAUAAUUCACAAUUAAUGUAGUCCUUGUGAUUUAAGGAAAAAUCAAGUAAGCCAGUAAUAAUUAGUACUAUUUUUCAAAUAAGUCCUCUGACCGUGUUUGACCAUUCACCGUACUGCAAAGUAAGCGAAAAAAUCGACUUCUUAGCAGCCCACUUCUAUGAUGCGAUUAAUUUCAUCCAUUCGCUGAUUCGCGUGCUGGUAGUUAGGCAAGUUUAUUUGUUGGCUGGAGAAAUUUGAUGAUUUCGGUACCAAAUAUAUACAUAUGUGUGUGUGUGUGUUUUUCCUUUAAUUUGUGAAUUUGGUAUUACUUCUGAUCAGGUGUGCGAAACAGAAACAACGGCAUUUAUUACAGAAUAUUUCUAAUUUGCAGUAUGGAAAGCUUGGAGAUGCUAAAUCUCUCCCAAAAUAACCUGUCAGGUUCAAUUCUAAGUAAUUUUGAAGAAAUGCAUGGCUUGUCGUUGGUUGAUGCAUCUCCUACAUUGAAUUACAGGGCCCAAUUCCAGUUGUAUAUUUAAUAACCAAUUUUAUUUAAACUUUAAACUUGUAUAUUUAACAAUUCUCCACAUGUCAAUCAUUUAAACUUGUACAUUUAUAACCAAUUUUCUAUGUUAUUUAUUAUGGUAUUAAUAACCAAUUUUAUUUUUAAAAUUAUAAUUAUUUACAAUUUUUUUUAUGUGUAGAUGUCUUUUUUAAAAAUUGGUUAUUGAUAAAAAUUUAAAUAGAGGAAUGAGACAAUGAUGAUAUAUUUAUAAUUUUAUUAACAAUAUAUGGACAAAUUGGAUAAUCUAAUAAUUUUUUUCAUAUGUUAGAAGGGUAUAAUGGUAAUUACAUACUAAAUUAUAAUUAAUGGGGAUGUAAAUAAUUUUUUUGAAAUAUUAGGGGGUUUUUGUCAUUUUGCCUAAACGUUAAGGGUACGUUUGUCCUUUUCCCUGUAUAAAGCAAAGAUUCGAUGACUAAAACAUGACGCUACUUAUAUAAUAUAGAGAUAGGCCAAUGCUAAGUUACAUUCAUGUAAUUUAGGGGGAUCCAUAGAGAUAUAGAUUUAUGGGUUCUGAUCUAGUGGGUCACGCGUGAAGGCCCACGUGUCCAUAAGAUGAGCGAUGGUGUCUACCAGAUUAGUUCUCUGGAGUUUAGAUCACUUCUCAAUUGCUCUUUUGCAUCCGCUGUAAUUGUUUUCUGCAACGUCGUUAAAUUAUAUACGAGUGUUUGAAAACCUUUGCAAUUUCAAUCAACUUUUGUAUUACCUUAAUUGUUUUGUUUUCUUAAUAUCAAUGGUGUCACUAACCUUGAAUAGAGUAUCUUUUACUGUUUUGUUCAUCCUAUUUUAUACGUGUUUAAUUUUUUACUUACUGUUUGUAUUAGAAUUUUUAUGUAAUUUGAUAACAUUACCUUAAAAGAAAAACCCGGGGAUGAAAUCUAACACUUACUAAUUAAUUUAAUUUUGUUUCAUAAUAAUAAACUAAAUUAAUUUUUUUUAAUAAUUUGAUAACCUUACCUUAAAAGAAAAACCUUCAUAUGAAUUAUAACGCUCACUGUGGCAUGGACAUGGACCCUUUCUUUUUUUUUUCUUUUUUUCUUUUUUUUUGGGGUCCAAUCCAAAGCUUGUCCUAUGUUUGGCAAGGUUUUAUAUAAUGAGAGAGGGAUAAAUAGAGACAAGCAUAUCCAUUGGAACCAUACCUCUAACAGGAUAAGUUGGGAAAAGCAAUCGAUAAUUUUAACUAAUUUAUUAAAAUUAUUUCAAAAAAAAAGUUGAGGGUGGGACAAAAUCCAAAUUUAUUUUUUAUCCCUUACCUCCCCAUGAUACUAUUCAGUCAGGCCCCUGAGGAAAAUUAAGUUAAUUGUUACUAAGAUAAAAAUAUUAUAGGUAAAUCAACUUUUUUCUAAUUGAAUUAUUUAAUGAUACAUAUAUUACAUAAAUUAAAAAAUUAUAGAAAUUUUUAUUUUUAUUUAAUUAAAUUCCACUCACAUUGAUUCAAAUAAUAAGCAGUAACAAAAAUUUUUUGUUAAUAAUAAUAUAAAAUAUGUUAUUGGCAAUAAUAAAAAACUGUAUUACAAAUAAUAAUACAGUUAAAUAUCUUGUAAUUUAGAUGUAUAUUUUUAUUAUUUAUUUCAUGUGGGAAUCCUCCUUGUUUUUCAGCUUCAAGUUCGUUUGAUUUAUUUAGUCUCAUGUAGCAGUGGUUGAUAAUUGUGUAGGUUAUUACGACUUCCAUACUAGAUACAGUAUAUGGUGUUCUCUUCCUUUUACAACGUGGUUCUUGUUGUAAUAACUAAUGAUUAGUAUUUUCCAGAUAAGUUCUCUGACCGUUUUUAAUCAUUAACUAACAAUUCAUAUUUUUAACGUUUAUUAAGAAUUUUAGGUUUGUCUAUAAAUAAAUGAAAGGAAUUAAUAACAAAUUCAAAGAAGGAUGAAGGAUUUUGGUAGAGUUAGGACGUAAACGAAAAUAUAAACAAUUAAUUGUGGCAUUAAGUAUGAGAAAAACUCAAUCUAGACUACUCAUAUUUUGAUAUAUCAUUUGCCAUUAGAUCUUUAAAAGUCUAAUAAACUUAGGGUUACAAAUCCUUUUUUUUUCUAUCGUGCUCGAGUUCUACAGUACAUUGGGGAAGUCCUAGAAAAUUGAUCAAGGCAACCUGGCUACAACUGAUAGAAAGGAAACGUUUAAAGUGGCUUGAUUAAUUUACAAGAACCCGGUUAGCGAGUCCAUGGUUUCUCUAGGAAGCCUCAGUCGGCUUGCGUUACCACAAUUAAUAGAAGCAUAAAAAAUAGCUUGAUGUAACAAAGAUUUGUGCGUUCUUUUAAAUUCAGCAUUUGAGUUCGUUAUGAUGAAGUUUCUGAGUUUCUUAAUCACCUAGAUAACAUCCUUUAUUGGCGGAGUCAAGUAUAAAAGGUGCUGAUGGGCAGGUGUGUCAAAGCAGAGUGAUUUGUGAUUAUCACACCAGUGAUCUUUACUAGCUCUGAGUGAAAAGAUCAUCCUUGUAAUCUUGUUAAUACUCUCUAUAUACAAUAACUGUACUCUCUUCUGAAAUCGAUUAAUCAAAUUUGUCUUUCACCUUGCACAGCUUGCUUAAACAUACUGAAUAUUUGCCUUCCUUUUUCCUUCAGCGUAAUUUGCAUGACAAUAUUGAAAUUUGAUAUAAUUAAUAAAAGUUUUAUAGUCUUGAGCAUAGUUUUAUUGUCAAAGUAUAAAUUUAUUCUUUGCUUUUUACGCUUAAUUCUUCAUGACUUUCUCUCAAAUAAGCAAAUUAAUUUGCAAAUUAUGCUCAAAGAGUUGUAUCCAUUUUUUUAAUGUUAAUUAUAAGCAUUCCCUCUAAAUGAAAAUGAUCAAACUGUUACAUGGUCCAAAUUAGAAUUACGGUCACAAUGUUAGUAUACCGGAAAUCUGGCUAGGAUCGAGAAAUAAAACUUAGUUUUGUUUGUUAAGCUGGUUGAUAUGAAUAUGAAAAGAUAUUGUAAUUCAACUUUUAAAGUCUCUUUAAUUUGUCUCGAACAUUUUGAUAACUUAAACAAAGUAUGUACAUUUGAUGACAAAAAAAGAAGGGUAUUGGAAAAGCCAACCCCAAAAUAUUUAGUCUUUCCGUUCUUUCUCUGGCAUAAUUUUCGAGGAGACAAAAUGCCCAGCAAACAAGUUAAUUUGAUCCGUUAGGAUCGAAAGAAACGUUAAUUAGUCAAUUCGUCCAUUAAUCUUGGUCACAAAUGUUUAUUCUAUGUUCUGGGACGACUUUCCAUGGACUUCAAUUGUAGUUCGAAGGAGAAUGUAUAUCAAUACAAAUAUUUUUUUAACAGAACUGCAUGCAACAAGUGAACCUUUUGUUUGGAUAAUUUUAAUAUCCUAGAUGUCGGGUUCCUCUAUGAUACUGUAAUUUUUUUACAGCAUCAAUAAUGUUUUUAAUUGUGUACCAUUGGAUUUAAUCAAUGGUACACAAAAUUUAUAGGUAAAAAAAAAUAAUAAUAAUGGUAAAUGGUUAACAAACGUGCAAGGGGUGGAGAAAUUUGUAAAAUAACUGUAACCACCCUUAGAGUUUGAAAUAAUUGCACUUAAAUAGCAUAUUUUAUUUAAAAUUAUUUUUCAAUCCCCCUUUAAAUUUAAAAUGUGAUAAUCUUUUUUAAAUAAAUCUUCCAAAAUCUAUUACCAUUAAGUAUAAAAUAUAAUGGUAGGUUAUUUAACACAAAUCAAAUAAAUAAGUUGCAAUUACAAAAUUUAUAUAUGAUAUAACACUAAUAAAUAACACAACUAAAUACAUAUACUUAAGUAAAUGUCAUAGUUACAUCAAUAAACUCAUUGUUGAGAUUGCUUGUAACAUAAAAAUUACUUGAUAACAUAUGUUUUAAUAAAAUUUAAUAUCAUAUAUUAAAAUACUCAUUAUUUUAUAUAAUAUUAAGGGUCAUUGUAUAAUUGAUCAUGAAGUAUGUAUUAUUUUUAAUACCCAUUUAACAUACUUAUUUUCUUAACUUUAUAUUUAUCUUAUAGUUAAUAUCCUUACAUGGUAGGAGUUUUGAGUUUUAUAAGCUUAUAUAUUUUCUUUUUAUUUUCAAAUAUCACUUUGUUAAUUUCAUAAAAGUUAAAUCGAAUAUAUAUUCCUAAUGAGCUUUAGUUUAUGAAUCGUGAAAGAUUAUUUUAUUGAUAUCCUUUGAUUGUAAUUAUAAAAUUUUAUGUUAUGAAGAGUAAUUACUUUUGUUAUGAUAGUUAAUAGUGACAAUAAAUAAAAUAUUGCCUUCAAUAAUAUUUAUGUGGGAAAAAAAGUGAAAGAAAAUAAUUUAUAUUUUUAGAUUUUUAUUAACAUGGUAGGAAAUUAUCUCAGCCUUAUAAAAUUUAACAUUCACAAGCUUAUUUUCAUUUUAUUUUCAAAUGUCACUUUGUUAAUUUCAUAAAAGUUAAAUCUAACACAUAUUCCUAAUUAACUUUAGUUUAUGAAUCAUGAAAGAUUAUUUUAUUGUUAUUCUUUGAUAGUAAUUAUAAAAUUUAUAUGCUACGAAGAGUCAUUACUUUUAUUAUGAUAAUUAAUAGUGACAAUAAAUAAAUUAUUACAUCAAAUAAUAUUUAAUGGACAAAAUGAGGAAAAAAAUCAUUGUAUAUUUUUAUAUUUCCAUUAUAAAGAUAUGGUUUGUGAUACUUUAACUUAAAAUUUUGGCACAAUAUUUGAGCCACUAAUAUCUCAUAGUCUAAUGGUUGAUAUUGAAAGUGAAAACACCAUUUCAUAAUGUUAUAUCCUCCACCAUUGAAUUGCAUGAAAUAAAUAGUUUAAUUUUUUGAUAAAAAUUUAAAUCAAAAUAUUUCUCACUCUAUAGUUAUAUAGACAUAUAUAUUUUUCAAUAAUAAUUGGUGAAUAAAAUAUUUCUCAUUUGCUUUGACUCGUAUAGUCUUAUUAAUAAAACACAUAUAAAAUAGUUUAUUACAAUACUUUCUAUUAUCAUUAUUGUUUGGGUUCCUCUAUGAUGCUGUAAUUUUUUUACAGCAUCAAUAAUGUGAUGUCUUUGAAAACUUUUGCCUUAACCAAUAAAACUCUUCCCUACUUGAUCAGGUUUUGACUCAUACGCCUCUCAAAUGCUUGUUUAGAAAAAAGCUUGUGGGCACGAUCCCCAUACCCCUAGAAACACUCCACACGUUCAAAAUAUAAAAGGUAUAUGAGGAGGAAACGAUAGGAGAGCAAGGCAAAAAAAAAAAAAAAAAAACUAAUUCAAAACAAAGUCAAUACCUUUACAAGAUUUCUACAUCUUUGCUAACUUAAGCAUCGGAGUUGAAUUCGGAAAUCUCAUUUUCCAAUUGUCCCAUUUCACAUUUUGGUUUAUUAUGUGUGCAAAUGACUUCCAUCUACCGCACUUGGUUCAGUUCACAUAGAGAAGAAAUAAGUAUUAACAAUCACAUAUAUUUUUUUAUUACAUUUCCGAUAUGCUUUUCAUGUCCUUGCAUUAUAUAAAUAAAAAAAAAAAGGAGAAAGAGAGAGAGAAUUGAAGAAUCUUCCCGGAAAAACAAUAACGUCAAUUCAAUCCCAGAAAUUAUGCAAUUCACGGUAAGCUAAUCCGCCUUUACAAAGCUUGAAAACGUACGUGCCCAGAAUUUUUAUUAUAAUUUUUUAUUGCUAUUUAAAUUAGGUAGUUGCGCUUGCGCAUGCGAACUUGAAAAUGACAUAUGCAAUUUUAUGAGCUGGCAUUGAUUACAUUGUAAACCAUGCAUGCGAUCUUCNNNNNNNNNNNNNNNNNNNNNNNNNNNNNNNNNNNNNNNNNNNNNNNNNNNNNNNNNNNNNNNNNNNNNNNNNNNNNNNNNNNNNNNNNNNNNNNNNNNNNNNNNNNNNNNNNNNNNNNNNNNNNNNNNNNNNNNNNNNNNNNNNNNNNNNNNNNNNNNNNNNNNNNNNNNNNNNNNNNNNNNNNNNNNNNNNNNNNNNNNNNNNNNNNNNNNNNNNNNNNNNNNNNNNNNNNNNNNNNNNNNNNNNNNNNNNNNNNNNNNNNNNNNNNNNNNNNNNNNNNNNNNNNNNNNNNNNNNNNNNNNNNNNNNNNNNNNNNNNNNNNNNNNNNNNNNNNNNNNNNNNNNNNNNNNNNNNNNNNNNNNNNNNNNNNNNNNNNNNNNNNNNNNNNNNNNNNNNNNNNNNNNNNNNNNNNNNNNNNNNNNNNNNNNNNNNNNNNNNNNNNNNNNNNNNNNNNNNNNNNNNNNNNNNNNNNNNNNNNNNNNNNNNNNNNNNNNNNNNNNNNNNNNNNNNNNNNNNNNNNNNNNNNNNNNNNNNUUAAUUUAAAGAGAACUUUACAUGGAGUGAUUUAAUUCAUAUAAAACUGAGCUAACAUACUUUUUUUUUUUUUUUGCUAAAAUUUUUUUAGUAAUGACGUCUGAACUAACGAAAAUUUUCGCUUACAUAUUCAAGUGAAAAAAAUAAAACGUCAUCUUACUGUUUAUUUGAUGAAAACCAAAUGGUUAAAGUGACUUGAUUUACAAGAACCCGAUUAGCGAGCCCAUGCUUUGCGUAGGUAGCCUCAGUAGCCCUGCGUUGUGAUAAUUAAUAGAAGCAUCAAAAAUAAAAUUUGUUUUGAUGUAACAAAGAUUUGUACUUACUAAAUUCAGCAUUUCAGUUCGUUAUGGUGAAGUUUCUGAGUUUCUUAAUCAAGUAAAAUAGCAUCCUUUAUUAGCCGAGUCAAGUAUAAAAUGCUGAUGGGCAGAUGCCAAAGCAGAGUGAUUUGAGAUUAUCACACCAGUGAUCUUUGCUAGCUCUGAGUGCAAAGAUAAUGUUUGUAAUCUUGUUAAUACUCUGUAUAAAUAAUACUCUCUUCUGGAAAUCCGUUGAUCAUAUUUGUCUUUCACCUUGCAGAACUUGCUCACACAAUGAAGAUUACUGCAUAUUUGUGAUUUCCUUUUUCCAAGGAAAUUAUUAUGACAGUAUUGAGAUUUGAAAUGAUUGUUUGCAAAUUUUCUAGUUUAAAAUUAAGUAUGGAUUUAUUACCACAGUAUGUUUAUUCUUUGCUUUAUGCUUAAUUCAUCUUGACUUGCUUACAGAUAAGUAAAUUAAUUUGAAAAUUAAGCUCGAAGUGUUAAUCCAUUCUUCCAAUAUUAAUUACAAGCAUUCAAUAGGAUGAAACUGUUACAAGGUGCAAAUCAAAAUUAUGUUAACAAUGUUAGUAAAUUUGAAAGCUAGCUAGUCUCUACAAAUUCAAUAUAGUCUUGUGUAUUAAAUUGGUGGAUACGAAGGUGAAUAGAAAUUAUAAUUCAAUAUUUAAAGUCUCUCUGUCUCACUCAUUUUAAUAUCUUAACAAUGUACAUUUGAUGACAAAAAAGAAGAGUAUAGAUAAGCCAACCCCAAAAUAUUUAGAAUUUCCAUUCUCUCUCUGCCGUAAUUUUCGGGGAAGCGAAUGCCCAGUGAACAAAAGUUUGAUCAAUCAGUGAUUGGAUCCAAAGAUACGUUAAUUAGUCAAGCCUUUCCAUUCAUUUUGAUCACAAAUGUUUAUCCUAUUUUGUGGGACGACUUGCCAUGGACUUUAAUUGUAGUUGGAAGGGGAGUGGCUAUCAAUACAAAGAUUAUUUUGACGGAGUCAGAAUUGCAUGCAACAAGUGAACGUUUUGUUUGGGCAAUUUUAAAAUCGUAGAUGUCUUUUAAGACUUUUGCCUUAAGCAACGGGGAAAACUCUUCCCUACUUGAUCAGGCAUCGACUCAUACACCUCUCAAUUGCUAGUCUGGAUUCUAUAUAAUUUUGGCUCGCGUGGAAAAAGCUACUCGUGGAUUCCACCUAAUAACUCCAAUGAUUUUUCCUGAAAUUAAAACCAUAAUCUUUAGCCUUUAACCAUUUAGACUUUGGGCACGGACGAACGGUGUGUUAUGUAGUUCAUAGUUGAAGUGAAAACGGUCUAAAUUUUAGCCAACACUCGGUUUAUGAAAACAUAUAUAGUUGUGAUCAAGAUUAAUGGACAAAUUGGUUAAGGCUUUUUGGAUCAUAAACAAACUUGUGUACUGGGCGUGCCAUUCAAAGAAAGGAAAAAUAUUGACCGUACCGCGCCGGGUGUUAGUUGCUAGGCAAGUUCAAUUGUUGGCAUUAGAAAUUUGAUUUUUGUUGAACUACUUUUGUGGAGGAAAGAAAAAAAAAAAAAAAGCUCUCUGCCCACUGCAGAACUGAUGUAAAUCUAAACAGGUUUAGGGUUUAUUAAAUCAUAUACUUGGGUGAGAUUCCAAAAGAACUUUGAAAGUUAAAUGAUCUAACGAAACUCAUUUUUUGGGGGUAAAGGAAUCAACUUACAGGACAUAUACUCCAGAAAUUAGAUUACUUAUUAGUUGAACUUACGUACCUCUGCAAAUGGAUUUAACGUCAACGUACUCAAUCCCAAAAAGUCUAACAACGCUUGAAAACGUGCUGAGAAUUUGUAAGAUUCAACACCGAGUGGACUGACUCCAUCAGUUGCCCCACAAAAGUUAAUGCAGUCCGCAAUAGUUGUACGCCAAAGCAUUAUAAUUUUUCUACUGCCAUUUAAAUUGGCUAGUUGCGAAUGAGAACUCGAAAAUGACAUACGUAAUUUUAUGAGCCACCAAUAAUAAUGGAGGCUCUUAUGUUGAGUUUUAUUACAGUCUCUGAAUUCUAACCUUUUUUCUUUAAUUUUUUUAAAUUCCUGUACGCUGGUGGCGUAUGUAUUAUACAAUCUGAGUAUAUCGAUUGGGAGUCUGAUUCAUACAUAUGAAACAUUCAGUGACAGAAUAAAUUCAAAUUAGACUCGGACCACACCAUUUUAUCCUGAGGCCACACUCUUAUAAGGUAAAAUCAAUAAUUUUUAUAUCAAGAAGUGACAUAAAAUUUGUUUCCCAACUUUUUACAUAUAUUAUUUAUUGAAGGAGAAUUUUACGUGAAGUGAUUUAAUUUGUAUAAAAAUGAGCUAACUUACUGCUUUUUCUUUUUUUUUUUGCUAUAUAAGUAAUAACGUCUGCACUAAUGAAAAGUUUCAAUUAGACAUACAAGUUACAACGUAGUAUGCUGGUGAUUAAAAAAUAAACAAAUAAAUAAAACAUCAUCUUACUGUUUAGUUCAUGGAAACCAAAUGUUUAAAGUAACUUGAUUUACAAUUAAUAGAAGCCUCAGUAGCCUUGCGUUAUCACAUCACAAUUAAUAGAAGCAUCAAAAUUAGCUUUUGAUAUAAUAAAGAUUUGUACUUCUAAAUUCAGCAUUUGAGUUCGUUACGAUGAAGUUUCUGAGUUUCUUAAUGAACUAAAAUAACAUCCUUUAUUAGCCGAGUCAAGAAUAAAAGGUGCUAAUGGCCAGGUGUGUCAAAGCAGAGUGAUUCGUGACAAUCACAAAUGUGAUCUUAACUAGCUCUCUGUGAAAAGCUCGUCUUUGUAAUCUUUUUAAUACUCUCUAUAUAUAAAUAUAGGGUAAAAGCUCGUUUAGUCCCUAUAUUUUGAAGUUAGUAUCCUUUUAGUCCCUAUAUUUUUAAAAAUACCUCAAACCAUCCCUACCAUUUAAUUAUUGACACUCUUGCCAUUAUCUUCUGUUCCUUUUAACUUAUUUUUACAAUAUUACCCUAUUACAAUAAUUUUUUAGACAUUAUUAAAAAGAAAAAAAUAAAUUGUCAGUUUAACACCAAAAAAUAAAAUAAAAUAAAAAAUAUAUUAAUUUUUGUGGAGCAGUCUCUUGAGUUAAAAUAUUAAUUUUUCUAAAAAAAUUGAUAAUGUAAUUUUUUACAACAUUAAUUUUUUAGACAUACGUGAGCUUCCACAAAAAUUAAUAUAUACAUUUUUUGUUUUUAUUUUAUUUUGGAGGAUAAUUUGAUAAUCUAAUUUUUUAUUAAUAUCCAAAAAAGAAACAUUAUUGUAAGAGUGUAAUAUUGUAAAAGCAAGUUAAAAAGAAUAAAAAAUAAUGGCAUGAGUGUCAAUAUUUUGCUACAGGGACGUUUUGAGGUUUUUUUAAAAAUAUAGGGACUGAAUAGACACUAACCUCAUAAUAUAGGGACUAAACAAGUUUUUACCCUAUAAAUAUACUCUAUUAUGAGAUCAACUGAUUAAAUUGGUCUUUCACCUUGCAGAGCUUGCUUAGACAUAUUGGAUAUUUGUCCUCUUUUUUUUAAAGGGCAAUUAGCACGACAUUAUUAAGAUUAGAUACGAUUCCUAAUCAACUAAAAAUUUUAAAGCGUGAAUUUAUUGUCAAAGUAUUAUUCUUUGCUUUUUACGCUUAAUUCAUCAUGAUUUGAUCUCAGAUAAGUAAAUUAAUUUGUUAUGCUCAAUGUGUUAUAUACAUUCUCCUAAUAUUAAUUAUAAGCAUUCUAUCUAAAUGAAUAUGAUCGAACUGUUACAUGGUCCAAAUUAAAAUUAUGGCCACAAUGCUAGUAAAUUGGAAAGCUAAGCUAGCAUCGCUAAAUUGAACUUAAGUUUUCUUUGUUAAACUGGUUGAUAUGAAUAUGACAAGAAAUUGUAAUUCAACUUUUAAAGUCUCUCUGUCUCAACCAUUUUAAUAUCUUAAUAAAAAGGUACAUUUGAUGGCAAAAAUAUUUAGACUUUCCAUUCUCUCAUUGCCAUAAUUUUGGGGAGAUAAGUGCCUAGUAAGCAAGUUUGAUUAGUCGCUGUUAGGAUCCAAAUAAAUGUUACUUAGUCAAUUAAUUUGUCCAUUAAUCUAGACCACAAAUGUUUAUUCAAUUUUCAUAAGUCAACCCCAGACCUUGGACAUGGAUUUUGUUUUAAAAAAAUUGUCAUAAUAUGAGAAUCUAAAAAUUUAGAUUUAUGGUGUGUUUACUUGUGAAAUCAGGAAAUCGAAAUUCACAGUGGAAGUGAUUCUUAAAUUGUUAUUUUUUACUUGUUAAAAUGGAAUGGAGAAUUAUAAUGAAAUAUGCAGGAUCCACAUAUUUUUUAGUCAAGGAAAAGAAAUCUGAUUCACAUGGGAUUGAGAAUCAAGUUUUCAUUCCUUUAACUCACCAUUUUACCCCCCUCACAUUUCAUAAUUUCAAUUUUGUGCUCAAUUAAAUGUUAUUAUAUUAAUGUAAUAAUAAUAAUAUUUAAACUAACAAUAAUAAUCAUAAUAAUGAUAAUAUAAUAAUAAUGAAAAUAACAACAACAACAAUAAUAAUAACGAAAAGUAAUAAUAUUAAUAAUCACAAUAAUAAUAAUGAAAAUAUAAUACUACUAUAAAUAACUAUUAUAAUAAUAGUAUUAAUAUGUUGCAGUUACUAAUUUCAUCAUUUCACAAGCCACCUCCACGGGCUGAUCUUGGGCACCUUGCGGAUCUUGUCGUUUAUCAUACCCACGUUUUAAAAGAGGAAGAUGAUGAUGACAAUGAUGUGGUGUGUGCGUGUGUUAGAAACGUACCUUCAGGUAGUGUUUGGUUUUAAGAAAGAGGAGGAGAGGAGGGAGGAAAAAUAGAGAGGAGUGGAGAGGUAAUGGGAGGAUAGGAGCGCGAAAAUUGAUUUUUAUUGUUUGGUUUCACCAAAAAAUAAAAAAUAAAAUUAAAAGGGAAAGAAAUUACAUUUUUUUUUAUUUGGACAAGUAUACCCAUUGGCAUUUAGUGUUAAAAUGUUAAUAUUUGCAGUAAAUAUAAUAAAAAUAAUUAAACUAUAAGUUAAAUUAAUCUAGAAUAUAAACUAAUAAGAAAACAUUUGAUUUUAUAUUAUAUUUUUAAUUAAUUCAUUAUUAUUUUAUAAUCAAAAUAACUAACCAACAAGUAGAUGGACGACUAAAAGUUGCAUAUCGACGUAGAAGAACCUGACAUACGGCUCAAACGGUGAUUGAUUUGACUGAACUGCAAUCAAGGGAACCAUUUUUUGGAUAAUUUUAGAGCAAUAAUGUUCAGAUUACUAUGUAAAAAUAUCCUAAUCUUGGAAAACUUUUCCACCUUAUGAAACAUUGGAAAAAUCUUCCCAACUUGACGCAUCGACUUGUUGACCUCUCAAUAUUAUGUCCAGCAUGCUCUUUUGAAUUUCAAUAUGAGUGCUCGUUUGUUGUUUAUGAUAUAAUAAACUACAAGCAACUUGUCCAGCAUGCUCGUUUCCUGCACCGUUGUAUGUUUUCCAAAAGCUAAGAGUCAUCAAAAGAUCUUUUGAAUUUCAAUAAAACUUCGAUUUAACUUUAUUUAUUUGAUUGUGUUUUUGGAAUAUCAAUGGGGUCACCAACCCUCAAUACAGUUGUUCCUUCACUUGUUUUGUUGAUCCUAUUUUUGUGUUAAGUUUCUUAAUAACUGUUUCUUCAGAAUCUAAUGAAGAAGUCGAUGCUCUUCUCAAAUGGAAAUCCAGCCUUCAAAACCAUAACCGAUCUCUCCUUUCUUCUUGGAUUAAGGACACCACCAAUGUUUCAUCCAAAACAAGCCCGUGCGCUUGGUAUGGAAUCAGUUGCAAUGACGCCGGAAGAGUCGUCAACAUCAGCCUCCCAUUUGAAGGAUUAAAAGGCAAGCUUCAUGAUUUCUCAUUCUCACCGUUUCCUCAUCUUGCUUAUCUUGAUCUCAGAUAUAAUGAACUCUUCAGUACUAUCCCGCCUCAAAUUAGUAACCUUACGAAUCUCAGCAUCCUUUCUUUAGGAGGCAAUCAAUUUUCAGGAAAUAUUCCACCCGAAGUUGGUCUUAUGAGUCAUUUGAAGAUCCUUUACAUUGAUUCAAACCAAUUAGAUGGCUCAAUUCCACCAGAAGUAGGUCAGUUAAGUUCUAUGGUAGAGCUUGCGUUGUUCUCUAACAACUUGAACGGUUCAGUCCCUCCUUCUUUAGGUAAUUUGACACACAUCUCUAUGUUGUUCCUUCAUGAUAAUUCAUUUUCUGGUUUUAUUCCUCCGGACAUUGGCAACUUGAAAUCUAUAUCCAUCCUAAGUUUGGCCAUUAAUCAAUUUAGUGGUCCAAUCCCUCUUUCUUUAGGUAAUUUGACCAACCUAAAACAAUUCAGCCUCAUUUAUAACAACCUAUCCGGUUCCAUUCCACCCUCCCUCGACAAUCUUGUGUUAACCAAGCUAUCAUUGGAUGACAAUCAUUUUACAAGUUAUUUACCGCAAAAUAUUUGUCGAGGUGGAGCAUUACAGAUUUUUACUGUUUCUGAAAACCAUUUUCAAGGAACAAUCCCUAAAAGCUUGAGAAAUUGCACAAGCUUAAUCCGAGUACGCCUUGAUGGAAACAACCUUAUUGGAAAUAUUUCAAAAGCUUUCGGCAUUUAUCCUAACCUGACUUUCAUAUAUCUCAGCCGCAAUAAUUUUUACGGUGAAAUCUCGUCUAACUUUGGGGAAUGCCCAAAAUUAGGCGCUCUCAACAUUUCGAUGAAUAACAUUACUGGAGGUAUACCGUGUGAGAUUGGAAACUGGUCUCAACUACAAGCACUCGAUCUUUCAUUGAAUCAUAUAGUUGGGGAGAUUCCAAAGGAACUUGGGAAGUUAAAUUCGCUAACCAAGCUCAUUUUGAGAGGGAAUCAACUUACAGGACGCCUGCCUACAGAAAUCGGCGCAUUCAAUGAACUUGAAUACCUCGACUUAUCUGCAAAUAGAUUCAACAAUUCAGUCCCAGAAAGUCUCGGCCACUUGCUGAAAUUGCACUACUUGGAUUUAAGCAACAACCAGUUUGUCCAAGAAUUGCCAAAGGAAUUGGAGAAGCUAGUUCAACUUUCAGAAUUAGAUGCUAGUCAUAACCUCUUUGGAGGAGAGAUACCAUUUCAAAUAUGCAGUUUGAAAAGCUUGGAAAAGUUGAAUCUCUCCCACAAUAAUCUCUCUGGUUCGAUUCCAAAUUGCUUUGAGGGAAUGCACGGUCUAUCAAUCAUUGACAUUUCUGAUAAUC